rnacentral:rRNA from 1 species
UACGUAGGGGGCAAGCGUUGUUCGGAAUUACUGGGCGUAAAGGGCGCGCAGGCGGCUGCUCAAGUCAGGCGUGAAAGGCCUGGGCUCAACCCGGGAAUUGCGCUUGAGACUGGGCUGGCUUGAGUGCGGGAGAGGAUGGUGGAAUUCCCAGUGUAGAGGUGAAAUUCGUAGAUAUCGGGAGGAACACCAGUGGCGAAGGCGGCUCUCUGGGCCCUACCUGACGCUGAGACGCGAAAGCGUGGGGAGCGAACCGG